UAGGUUAACGAGGCGAACCGGGGGAACUGAAACAUCUAAGUACCCCGAGGAAAAGAAAUCAACCGAGAUUCCCCCAGUAGCGGCGAGCGAACGGGGAGCAGCCCAGAGUCUGAAUCAGCUUGUGUGUUAGUGGAACGGUCUGGAAAGUCCGACGGUACAGGGUGAUAGUCCCGUACACCAAAAUGCACAGGUUGUGAACUCGAAGAGUAGGGCGGGACACGUGGUAUCCUGUCUGAAUAUGGGGGGACCAUCCUCCAAGGCUAAAUACUCCUGACUGACCGAUAGUGAACCAGUACCGUGAGGGAAAGGCGAAAAGAACCCCGGCGAGGGGAGUGAAAAAGAACCUGAAACCGUGUACGUACAAGCAGUGGGAGCACCUUCGGGUGUGACUGCGUACCUUUUGUAUAAUGGGUCAGCGACUUAUAUUCUGUAGCAAGGUUAACCGUAUAGGGGAGCCGCAGGGAAACCGAGUCUUAACUGGGCGUUAAGUUGCAGGGUAUAGACCCGAAACCCGGUGAUCUAGCCAUGGGCAGGUUGAAGGUUGGGUAACACUAACUGGAGGACCGAACCGACUAAUGUUGAAAAAUUAGCGGAUGACUUGUGGCUGGGGGUGAAAGGCCAAUCAAACCGGGAGAUAGCUGGUUCUCCCCGAAAGCUAUUUAGGUAGCGCCUCGUGAAUUCAUCUUCGGGGGUAGAGCACUGUUUCGGCUAGGGGGUCAUCCCGACUUACCAACCCGAUGCAAACUACGAAUACCGAAGAAUGUUAUCACGGGAGACACACGGCGGGUGCUAACGUCCGUCGUGAAGAGGGAAACAACCCAGACCGCCAGCUAAGGUCCCAAAGUCAUGGUUAAGUGGGAAACGAUGUGGGAAGGCACAGACAGCCAGGAUGUUGGCUUAGAAGCAGCCAUCAUUUAAAGAAAGCGUAAUAGCUCACUGGUCGAGUCGGCCUGCGCGGAAGAUGUAACGGGGCUAAACCAUGCACCGAAGCUGCGGCAGCGACACUAUGUGUUGUUGGGUAGGGGAGCG
rnacentral:rRNA from 1 species